CCCUUAGAUGUUCUGGGCCGCACACGCGCUACACUGAAGGAGGCAGCGUGUACUCCUGGAUCGAAAGAUUUGGGUAACCCGCGAAUCUCCUUCGUGCUAGGGAUUGAGGUUUGCAAUUAUCCUUCAUGAACGAGGAAUUCCCAGUAAGUGCAAGUCAUAAGCUUGCGCUGACUACGUCCCUGCCCUUUGUACACACCGCCCGUCGCUACUACCGAUUGAAUGAUUUAGUGAGGACUUCGGACUGGGACCGAUGCGGCUUUCGGGCUGCGUCGGUAUUCUGGAAAGAUGUCCAAACUGUAUCAUUUAGAGGAAGUAGAAGUCGUAACA
rnacentral:rRNA from 1 species